rnacentral:snRNA from 1 species
GCACUCGCUUCGGCAGCACAUACACUAAAACUGGAACUAUCAGAGAAGAUUAGCAUGGCCCCUGUGCAAGGUUGGCAACCAAAUUUAUGAAGUAUUCUAUAUUUUA